GACAGAAUGGCCGAGCGGUCUAUGGCGCUGUGUUCAGGUCGCAGUCCUUUAAGGGCGUGGGUUCGAAUCCCACUUCUGUCA
rfam:Theileria parva strain Muguga chromosome 1 chr1_complete, whole genome shotgun sequence.